rnacentral:rRNA from 1 species
UUGGAGGGCAAGUCUGGUGCCAGCAGCCGCGGUAAUUUCAGCUCCAAUAGCGUAUAUUAAAGUUGUUGCAGUUAAAAAGCUCGUAGUUGAAUUUCGGGAUCAAUUUAUUGGUCGUGCCAACGGUACGCACUGGUACAAUUGGUUUCUCCCUUCUGACGAAGCAUGAUGUCAUUAAUUUGAUGUCGUGGGGAAUCAGGACUGUUACUUUGAAAAAAUUAGAGUGUUUAAAGCAGGCUUUGGCUUGAAUACAUUAGCAUGGAAUAAUGAAAUAGGACGUUUGAUCUUAUUUCGUUGGUUUCUAAGAUCGACGUAAUGAUUAAUAGGGAUAGUUGGGGGCAUUAGUAUUCAAUUGUCAGAGGUGAAAUUCUUGGAUUUAUUGAAGACUAACUACUGCGAAAGCAUUUGCCAAGGAUGCUUUCAUUAAUCAAGAACGAAAGUUAGGGGAUCGAAGACGAUCAGAUACCGUCGUAGUCUUAACCAUAAACUAUGCCGACUAGGGAUCGGACGAUGUUAAUUUUUCUUGACUCGUUCGGCGCCUUACGGGAAAC